rnacentral:rRNA from 1 species
CUUGAACGCUGGCGGCAUGCUUUACACAUGCAAGUCGAACGGUAACAGGCCGCAAGGUGCUGACGAGUGGCGAACGGGUGAGUAAUGCAUCGGAACGUGCCCAGUCGUGGGGGAUAACGCAGCGAAAGCUGCGCUAAUACCGCAUACGAUCUAUGGAUGAAAGCGGGGGACCGUAAGGCCUCGCGCGAUUGGAGCGGCCGAUGUCAGAUUAGGUAGUUGGUGGGGUAAAGGCUCACCAAGCCGACGAUCUGUAGCUGGUCUGAGAGGACGACCAGCCACACUGGGACUGAGACACGGCCCAGACUCCUACGGGAGGCAGCAGUGGGGAAUUUUGGACAAUGGGCGCAAGCCUGAUCCAGCAAUGCCGCGUGCAGGAAGAAGGCCUUCGGGUUGUAAACUGCUUUUGUACGGAACGAAACGGCUCUGGUUAAUACCUGGGGCUAAUGACGGUACCGUAAGAAUAAGCACCGGCUAACUACGUGCCAGCCGCCGCAGUAACAC